GACAGAGGUGCCAAGCGUUAGGCGGAAUCACUGGGCUUAAAGCGUGUGUAGGCGGAUUGGUAAGUACCUUGUGAAAUCCCUCGGCUUAACCGGGGAACUGCGUCUGAUACUGGGUGGCUUGAGUGCAGGAGAGGAAUGCGGAAUUCCAGGUGUAGCGGUGAAAUGCGUAGAUAUCUGGAGGAACACCGGUGGCGAAGGCGGCAUUCUGAACUGUAACUGACACUGAGGAACGAAAGCCAGGGGAGCAAACGGG
rnacentral:rRNA from 1 species